AGUGAACGCUGGCGGUAGGCCUAACACAUGCAAGUCGAACGGCAGCACAGUAAGAGCUUGCUCUUACGGGUGGCGAGUGGCGGACGGGUGAGGAAUACAUCGGAAUCUACUUUUUCGUGGGGGAUAACGUAGGGAAACUUACGCUAAUACCGCAUACGACCUACGGGUGAAAGCAGGGGAUCUUCGGCCCUUGCGCGAUUGAAUGAGCCGAUGUCGGAUUAGCUAGUUGGCGGGGUAAAGGCCCACCAAGGCGACGAUCCGUAGCUGGUCUGAGAGGAUGAUCAGCCACACAGGAACUGAGACACGGUCCAGACUCCUACGGGAGGCAGCAGUGGGGAAUAUUGGACAAUGGGCGCAAGCCUGAUCCAGCCAUACCGCGUGGGUGAAGAAGGCCUUCGGGUUGUAAAGCCCUUUUGUUGGGAAAGAAAAGCAGCAGGUUAAUACCCCGCUGUUCUGACGGUACCCAAAGAAUAAGCACCGGCUAACUUCGUG
rnacentral:rRNA from 1 species